rnacentral:rRNA from 1 species
UACGUAGGGGGCAAGCGUUGUCCGGAUUUAUUGGGCGUAAAGAGCGUGUAGGCGGCCAGGUAGGUCUGCUGUGAAAACUCGAGGCUUAACCUCGAGCUGUCGGCGGAAACCAUCUGGCUAGAGUCCGGAAGAGGAGAAUGGAAUUCCCGGUGUAGCGGUGAAAUGCGCAGAUAUCAGGAAGAACACCCGUGGCUAAGGCGGCUCUCUAGUACGGUACUGACGCUGAGACGCGAAAGCGUGGGGAGCGAACAGG